rnacentral:tRNA from 1 species
GGGGUGUCCUCUUUAGGUAUAGGAGGCUGCUAACUUUUUAUAGAGUGACUAAGAAUCGUUCACACCUCU